rnacentral:rRNA from 1 species
UACGUAGGGUGCAGGCGUUAAUCGGAAUUACUGGGCGUAAAGCGCACGUAGGUGGCGACGUAAGUCGGGUGUGAAAGCCCCGGGCUCAACCUGGGAAUUGCAUUCGAGACUGCAUUGCUGGAGUACGGAAGAGGAAGGCGGAAUUCCCGGUGUAGCGGUGAAAUGCGUAGAUAUCGGGAGGAACAUCAGUGGCGAAGGCGGCCUUCUGGUCCAGUACUGACACUCAAGUGCGAAAGCGUGGGGAGCAAACAGG